rnacentral:lncRNA from 1 species
CGCGACCGUUCGUUUCCAAUCCCACCGAGCGUUCCCCCGCAUUUACCGGGAGCGCGGAGCCGGAGGCCCACGCGUGUCGGCAACGCGGAUGGCAGCGGGGAGCGCCGUGCGGGGACAGCCUGCUCCUGCAGCCCUGCUCGGGCCGGCAAGUGGAUGGGAAAGGAGCCCUCUCCAACACAAACCUCAUUGACUAAUGGGGCGGUUUUGGGUUUCGCCUUCGAAAGGUUCGGAAAUCGGCAGCGUUCUGUUACCGCCCGCCCGGCUCCAGCCCAGAGCCCGCGGCUCUUAUCGGACACCGCUCCCAGCGCUCCCUUCUGCUGCUCCUCUCUCCAGAAACCCGCACUUUAAAAACACAUAGAGAGCUUUAGGUUUAUUUGGUAGGCUUAUUUCUAAGGCCGGAGGGGCAGAGGGGGGCCGCGUUUUCUAUCUUUCCUAUACAAUUCUUUUUUUUUUUUUUUUUUUUUCCGGCGAAAUCGGUGAAAAACGGCCGAGCGCUGCCCCGGCCCCAUCCCCAUCCCCGCUCCGCAUCGAAUAAACCCGCGGAGAUGUGCGCUCCUGCGCAGGGAUCGGGGCCGGGCUGAGCCCGACCCGUACGGCACAGAACCUCCCCGAGCCGCCCUGCCGCCGUUCGGCCGUUCGCUUCGAGCUCCGUUCCUUUGCUUUUAUUCGAGCGCUUCGAAACCAUUUCUCGUCUGAAUUUAUGGGGCUAAACGGAGCGUGAGGUUCGGAAAUCCGUGCCGUUUUGCUUCUUUCGGGUGGUUUGAAGCGAAAACUUUCCGUUUGUUUUGUAGGAAAAGCAGCGGGUAACGCACGCCGCUGGGAGCGGCCCCGGCCGCAGCGCUGCCCGCGGGCGCAGCCCCGUUCGCUCCGCGGGCGCUGUGGGGCGCGGAGCGGCGCGGCCCCGGUGGGGGCUGAGCCCCAACGUUCGGGUUCGGCCUUGGGAAGGGACGGGCAGGGAGAAGCCGCUCUCGUUACAAACCAGGGCUCCUCACGGCCCCGCUUUGCGUUCUUCACCCCUUAGCCCUGAAUGGACGAACCCUCAGGUCCGUGCUUCCCAAACGUCUUGGAAAAUUAGAGGAAGAGCGCAUUGUAAUAAAGGGAAAGGGACCGGGGAGCGCGUCCCGGGCUCGGUGCGGCCGUGGCACCGCUCCUGCGGGAGGCUCGGAGCCCACCGCUGUAAUUCUGCGCACUUGCUCCAGACUUUAGGGUAUUAGUUGGUGUUAGAGCCGGGUUUAAGGCUCCGUUCCGGUCCCCACGCAGCUGCCUUGUCAAUAAGGAUCUGUUCCAAGCAGACAUUCCUUCUGGGAGGACAUUGCAGCUCUUUAAGACUUCAUCUGCAACAUCACAAGCACUAAAAUAAAAUGGAAGGGAAAAUUAGCAGACACGCGGUCACGGGACACGGCGGUGCCCGAGCGGUGCAGAGCGGACAGACGGGCGGCAGCGCCUUAUUUAACCGCCCCGAGAAGAGAAAUACGUGGGAAAAACAACCACCGGGGCACG